rnacentral:rRNA from 1 species
UACGGAGGGUCCAAGCGUUAUCCGGAAUCAUUGGGUUUAAAGGGUGCGCAGGCGGAUAUGUAAGUCAGUGGUGAAAUCUCUAGGCUUAACCUGGAAAUUGCCGUUGAUACUAUAUAUCUUGAAUGCUGUGGAGGUAAGCGGAAUAUGUCAUGUAGCGGUGAAAUGCUUAGAUAUGACAUAGAACACCUAUUGCGAAGGCAGCUUACUACGCAGAUAUUGACGCUCAUGCACGAAAGCGUGGGGAUCAAACAGG